rnacentral:piRNA from 1 species
UGCCUAGGUGUUUGAGAGCCUUUAUCUACC